UACGUAGGGCGCAAGCGUUGUCCGGAAUUAUUGGGCGUAAAGAGCUCGUAGGUGGCUUGUCACGUCGGGUGUGAAAGCUUGGGGCUUAACUCCAGGUCUGCAUUUGAUACGGGCUGGCUAGAGGUAGGUAGGGGAGAACGGAAUUCCUGGUGUAGCGGUGAAAUGCGCAGAUAUCAGGAGGAACACCGGUGGCGAAGGCGGUUCUCUGGGCCUUACCUGACGCUGAGGAGCGAAAGCGUGGGGAGCGAACAGG
rnacentral:rRNA from 1 species